rnacentral:rRNA from 1 species
CGGAACACGUACGCAAUCUACCCAAAACUGAUGAAUAGCCCUCCGAAAGGAGGAUUAAUACAUCGUAACUUAAGGAAGUGGCAUCACUAUCUUAAUAUAGCUCCGGCGGUUUUGGAUGAGCGUGCGCCUGAUUAGGUAGUUGGCGGGGUAACGGCCCACCAAGCCUGCGAUCAGUAACUGGUGUGAGAGCACGACCAGUCACACGGGCACUGAGACACGGGCCCG